rnacentral:rRNA from 1 species
AGAGUUUGAUCCUGGCUCAGAACGAACGCUGGCGGCGUGCUUAACACAUGCAAGUCGAACGGAAUAAGGGGCUUGCUCCUUAUUUAGUGGCGCACGGGUGAGUAACGCGUGGAUAAUCUGCCUGAUGAUCUGGGAUAACAUUUCGAAAGGGGUGCUAAUACCGGAUAAGCCCACGGAGACUUCGGUUUUUGCGGGAAAAGAGGGGGACCUUCGGGCCUCUUGUCAUUAGAUGAGUCCGCGUACCAUUAGCUAGUUGGUGGGGUAAAGGCCCACCAAGGCGACGAUGGUUAGCUGGUCUGAGAGGAUGAUCAGCCACACUGGAACUGAGACACGGUCCAGACUCCUACGGGAGGCAGCAGUGGGGAAUUUUGCGCAAUGGGGGAAACCCUGACGCAGCAACGCCGCGUGAGUGAUGAAGGCCUUCGGGUCGUAAAGCUCUGUCUAGAGGAAAGAAGUGUGAGGUGGCGAACACCCAUUUCACUUGACGGUACCUCUGAAGGAAGCACCGGCUAACUCCGUGCCAGCAGCCGCGGUAAUACGGAGGGUGCGAGCGUUGUUCGGAUUUAUUGGGCGUAAAGCGCGUGUAGGCGGUUUCAUAAGUCUGAUGUGAAAGCCCCGGGCCUAACCUGGGAAGUGCAUUGGAAACUGUGAGACUUGAGUACGGGAGAGGGUAGUGGAAUUCCUAGUGUAGGAGUGAAAUCCGUAGAUAUUAGGAGGAACACCGGUGGCGAAGGCGGCUACCUGGACCGAUACUGACGCUGAGACGCGAAAGCGUGGGGAGCAAACGGGAUUAGAUACCCCGGUAGUCCACGCCGUAAACGUUGUGCGCUAGGUGUGGGAGGUAUCGACCCCUCCCGUGCCGCAGCUAACGCACUAAGCGCACCGCCUGGGGAGUACGGUCGCAAGACUGAAACUCAAAGGAAUUGAUGG